rnacentral:rRNA from 1 species
AUGCAUUGGUCUGAGAAGCCUAUCAGCUGGAGCCGGGCCGAUCACCCAGAGGUGAUGCCGUCUCCCGGCUCUUAUGCAUUGGUAUUGGACGCCACCCUCGCGACAGAAAGGCGAGCUGCCCGUUUCUCCGGAGUACUGAUUGACGGAGGGAGCAGCAUCAACAUACUGUACCGUGACACCAUGGAGAAGCUGAACAUCAAGACGAAGCAACUCAUGCCAAGCCAGACUGUGUUCCAUGGCAUCAUACCCGGCCUGUCCUGCUCACCAAUCGGCAAGAUCAAGAUAGAUGUUCUCUUUGGAGACAAGGAUCACUUCCGCUGA